rnacentral:rRNA from 1 species
AGAUUGAACGCUGGCGGCAUGCCUUACACAUGCAAGUCGAACGGCAGCACGGGGGCAACCCUGGUGGCGAGUGGCGAACGGGUGAGUAACAUAUCGGAACGUGCCCUGGAGUGGGGGAUAACUAGUCGAAAGACUAGCUAAUACCGCAUACGAUCUACGGAUGAAAGUGGGGGAUCGCAAGACCUCAUGCUCGUGGAGCGGUUUUCCGAUAUCUGAUUAGCUAGGUUGGGUGGGGU